AUAAAAGAACCUAAUUUUGAGGCUUCUAAACCUAUCCACCUCAACCAAAAUAUUUAGGGCAAACUAAACUGACAACUCAGCAUGAAGUUUAAGAAAAUCAGUAAACCGUAAAAGUAAAUUUGUAAAUCGACCAUUCUCCUCCCUAUCGAUUCAGUUUUUCCUGAUUAAGAUCAUACAUACCUUCUCAACUUCUUCUCAUUUUCUGCCGGUUGUUUUUCACCAUUUCAUAUCAAUCUCUUCCAAAUCCUCUUCAAUCUCUUAUUUUGGCUUCCCCCCCUC
rnacentral:lncRNA from 1 species